rnacentral:rRNA from 1 species
AUUGAACGCUGGCGGUAGGCCUAACACAUGCAAGUCGAACGGCAGCACAGUAAGAGCUUGCUCUUACGGGUGGCGAGUGGCGGACGGGUGAGGAAUACAUCGGAAUCUACUUUUUCGUGGGGGAUAACGUAGGGAAACUUACGCUAAUACCGCAUACGACCUACGGGUGAAAGCAGGGGAUCUUCGGACCUUGCGCGAUUGAAUGAGCCGAUGUCGGAUUAGCUAGUUGGCGGGGUAAAGGCCCACCAAGGCGACGAUCCGUAGCUGGUCUGAGAGGAUGAUCAGCCACACUGGAACUGAGACACGGUCCAGACUCCUACGGGAGGCAGCAGUGGGGAAUAUUGGACAAAGGGCGCAAGCCUGAUCCAGCCAUACCGCGUGGGUGAAGAAGGCCUUCGGGUUGUAAAGCCCUUUUGUUGGGAAAGAAAAGCAGCAGGUUAAUACCCCGCUGUUCUGACGGUACCAAAAGAAUAAGCACCGGCUAACUUCGUG